AAUAAGUGUAGCCGUAGAUAUCCGUGCCCAAUGUUUGACCAUCCAUCUUAUUUAAAACAUUUGUGAAAAAUUUAAAAAUAUUUAGUCACGCAUAAAUUACUAUUCAUGUUUUAUCAUCUAAUAGCAAUAAAAAUACUAAUCAUAAAAAAUUUUCAAAUAAGACGAACGGUCAAAUGUUGAACGUGAAUAGUGCAAAACUGCACUUAUU
rnacentral:pre_miRNA from 1 species